GGGAAAUCUGUCGUGAGGUCGUCUUGAAUGGGGGUGGCUACUCCCAAAAGGUAACGGAGGCGGUCAAAGGUUCUGUCAGUACGGUAGGAAAUCUUAAGUUGAGUGGCAAGGAAAAAGAGAGCGUGAUGGCAAUACAUACAGGCCGAGCAAGGAUGAAAAUUGGACUUAGUGGCCCUGGGGUUCUGCGUGGAAGGGCCAUCGCUCAACGGAUAAAAGCUACCCUGGGGAUAACAGGCUUAUCUCCCCCAAGAGUCCACAUCGACGGUGAUGUUUGGCACCUCGAUGUCGGCUCAUCACAUCCUGGGGCUGUAGUAGGUCCCCAGGGUUGGGCUGUUCGCCCAUUAAAGUGGUACGCGAGCUGGGUUCAGACCGUCGUGAGACAGUUCGGUCCCUAUCCGUCGCAUCCGUAGGAAAUUUGCGAAAUGAUGUCAUUAGUCCGA
rnacentral:rRNA from 1 species